rnacentral:rRNA from 1 species
AGAGUUUGAUCCUGGCUCAGGAUGAACGCUAGCGAUAGGCUUAACACAUGCAAGUCGAGGGGUAACGUGUUGGAAGCUUGCUUCCGAUGACGACGACCGGCGGAUGGGUGCGUAACGCGUAUGCAACUUGCCUCACAGCGGAGAAUAACCCGGAGAAAUCCGGACUAAUGCUCCAUACACUCUCAGGGACACAUGUCUCCGAGAGGAAAGAUUUAUCGCUGUGAGAUAGGCAUGCGUCCUAUUAGGUAGUUGGUGAGGUAACGGCUCACCAAGCCGACGAUAGGUAGGGGUGCUGAGAGGCAGAUCCCCCACAUUGGGACUGAGACACGGCCCAAACUCCUACGGGAGGCAGCAGUGAGGAAUAUUGGUCAAUGGAGGAAACUCUGAACCAGCCAAGUCGCGUGAAGGAAGAAUGUCCUAAGGAUUGUAAACUUCUUUAGCGAGCGAGUAAGGACUUCCACGUGAUGGGAGUUUGAAAGUAGCUCGAGAAUAAGUAUCGGCUAACUCCGUGCCAGCAGCCGCGGUAAUACGGAGGAUACGAGCGUUAUCCGGAUUUAUUGGGUUUAAAGGGUGCGCAGGUGGUCCUGCAAGUCAGUGGUGAAAAGCUGAGGCUCAACCUCAGCCUUGCCGUUGAAACUGCAAGACUUGAGAGUACAUGAUGUGGGCGGAAUGCGUAGUGUAGCGGUGAAAUGCAUAGAUAUUACGCAGAACUCCGAUUGCGAAGGCAGCUCACAAAGGUAUAUCUGACACUGAGGCACGAAAGCGUGGGGAGCAAACAGGAUUAGAUACCCUGGUAGUCCACGCCGUAAACGAUGAUUACUCGAAGUAUGCGAUAUGACAGUAUGCUUCCAAGCGAAAGUGAUAAGUAAUCCACCUGGGGAGUACGCCGGCAACGGUGAAACUCAAAGGAAUUGACGGGGGCCCG